AUGCGCCUGAGCACGUCUACACAUCCAUACUCAACAACGAUACACUGCACACUUAGUACACCCACACCCACACCCAACCGUACACCCUUCCCCCACGCCCCUGCUGCGGGUGAGCAGCGGAUUUCCGGAAAGGGGGGAGUGCAGUCCUCUAGAAAACUGAGGGCGUGGCACCCACCCUGGCGGCGCCUGCUGCCUCCUCUCUGGGGGUCCAGGGAGCUGGGGGAACUGGAUGAAGGGACCGCGCGCGGGAGAAGAGCCGGGUCCAGCCCAGCUGGCUGCCGAGCUGAGGGCGCGCAACGCGAGCGGGUACCCCGGGACCGCGGUCUGGAAGCGGAACUUCUCGGAUUGUUUUAA
rnacentral:lncRNA from 1 species